CGUACACUCCUACGGGAGGCAGCAGUGGGGAAUAUUAGACAAUGGGCGCAAGCCUGAUCCAGCCAUGCCGCGUGAGUGAUGAAGGCCCUAGGGUUGUAAAGCUCUUUCACCGGUGAAGAUAAUGACGGUAACCGGAGAAGAAGCCCCGGCUAACUUCGUGCCAGCAGCCGCGGUAAUACGAAGGGGGCUAGCGUUGUUCGGAUUUACUGGGCGUAAAGCGCACGUAGGCGGACUAUUAAGUCAGGGGUGAAAUCCCGGGGCUCAACCCCGGAACUGCCUUUGAUACUGGUAGUCUUGAGUUCGAGAGAGGUGAGUGGAAUUCCGAGUGUAGAGGUGAAAUUCGUAGAUAUUCGGAGGAACACCAGUGGCGAAGGCGGCUCACUGGCUCGAUACUGACGCUGAGGUGCGAAAGCGUGGGGAGCAAACAGGAUUAGAUACCCGAGUAGUCCCAUGA
rnacentral:rRNA from 1 species